rnacentral:rRNA from 1 species
GAACGCUAGCGGCAGGCUUAACACAUGCAAGUCGAGGGGCAUCACGGGUAGCAAUACCUGGUGGCGACCGGCGCAAGGGUGCGUAACGCGUGAGCAACAUGCCCUAUACAGGGGGAUAAUCCAGGGAAACUUGGUCUAAUAUCCCAUAGCAUUUAGAGGUGGCAUCACCAUUAAAUUAAAGCUUCGGUGGUAUAGGAUUGGCUCGCGUGACAUUAGCUAGAUGGUGGGGUAACGGCUCACCAUGGCUAUGAUGUCUAGGGGUUCUGAGAGGAAGACCCCCCACACUGGGACUGAGACACGGCCCAGACUCCUACGGAAGGCAGCAGUGAGGAAUAUUGGACAAUGGAUGGAAAUCUGAUCCAGCCAUGCCGCGUGCAGGAAGACGGCCCUAUGGGUUGUAAACUGCUUUUAUAUGGGAGCAAUAAGGUCUACGAGUAGACCGAUGAGAGUACCAUAUGAAUAAGCAUCGGCUAACUCCGUG